GGCGAUUGGCGAUUCAGAACAACGAAGAACAUAGAAGAAGAAGAUCGAUCAGAUUCAAGGUUCAUCUAGCGAGGAGUCCGAUGGUUCCCAUGACCAACAACCACUUGCGCAUCAAUUGAAAAUAGCACUUGAGCAGAGAGAUAUGGUUCAAGAGGAGCUGGAUGAUCUCCAAGCAAUUUUUUUUUUUAAGCUUUAGGAUGAUGGACCUUGUAACCUUGUAAUGAGUAAAACUUGGUUAUUUCUAAUGCUAUGGACCUUGUGACCUUGUAAUGAGCAAAACUUGGUUAUUUCUCAUUGCUAAUGUUAUGGUUGAUGGACAAAUUAUCAAUUUGGUAUA